rnacentral:rRNA from 1 species
UACGUAGGGGGCAAGCGUUGUCCGGAAUUAUUGGGCGUAAAGAGCGUGUAGGCGGCCAGACAGGUCCGAUGUGAAAACUCGAGGCUCAACCUCGAGACGUCGACGGAAACCGUCUGGCUAGAGUCCGGAAGAGGAGUGUGGAAUUCCUGGCGUAGCGGUGAAAUGCGCAGAUAUCAGGAAGAACACCUAUGGCGAAGGCAGCACUCUGGGACGGUACUGACGCUGAGGUGCGAAAGCGUGGGGAGCGAACAGG